rnacentral:tRNA from 1 species
CGCUCUGCAACUGGGUUGACUCGGCUCUCAUAAGGCUGGCGAGGUGGUUCGAUUCCACCCUGAGCGACCA